rnacentral:misc_RNA from 1 species
UCUUGUGAGGUUUGCCAGAACCAGAACCAGAACCACAGGCAAAAACAAUAGCUGAUAUAAUUGAGAGAGACAAAGCGAACAUCCAAAGCAAGAGAAAGGGUUGAGAGAAGUGUAGCAGAAGGCCUACGGCAGCUUCACCUCCACGGCCGUUUGCUAAAGUAAGAGUAUGUCUCGCCAUCUUUUGGUUGCCUUAUCACCUCAUACACUAAUGCAAUUACCUUAGCUUCAUAGAUAUAUUUCUAUUAAGGUUGACAUUUCAAAGACUUAUCUCGAUCGCGUGGAGAAGAAAAU